UACAGAGGUCUCAAGCGUUGUUCGGAUUCAUUGGGCGUAAAGGGUGCGUAGGUGGGCAGGUAAGUCAGUGGUGAAAUCUCCGGGCUUAACCCGGAAACUGCCGUUGAUACUAUCUGUCUUGAAUGUAGUGGAGGUGAGCGGAAUAUGUCAUGUAGCGGUGAAAUGCUUAGAGAUGACAUAGAACACCAAUUGCGAAGGCAGCUUGCUACACUACGAUUGACACUGAGGCACGAAAGCGUGGGGAUCAAACAG
rnacentral:rRNA from 1 species